GAAGAACUAGGGCUGUGUGCUGGGUGGGGGCGGAGGGGUGCUCAGUGUCAGCUUGGAAACAGUCUUGCGGCCUCUGCACCUGCACCACACUGUGCAUGACAAGCUGCAGGAAGCUGGAGGACAGGAAGUACAGGAUAAAGGGGGGAAAAGGCGCCAGCCAGGAGCAGUUUUGGGGCAAUUUAAAGAGCCGCCCUCAUGGGAGCCGAAACACUGGAGGGCGGAGAUAUGAUAAAUGGGCCACCAACAGUACCAGAGAGAGCUCAACCCCCAUCCUCCUCCACCUCCUCCUCCUCAUCCUCCUCCCCCUCCUCCUCCUCCACCUACAGGAUCCCUUCAUAUUUCCUUCAGGUUUCAUCCAAAAAAAAAGAAAGAAAAAAAAGCAUUAAAUGUGUUUUUAAAAGUUGCUCCCUGCAGUGGCAGAAAUGCUGUGCCGUCAUGUGUGCGACGUUUCAGGCAUUUGCUCAAAAGGACAUACCACAUUCUCCACAGUGAUGUGGUUGUUGAGAAGGAGAAUGCUGCAGCGCUUUUUUUCUUGUGAAGCUCCAGAAAUGUUACUUCACCAUCGGCACGAACGUUUGGAAGAGGAGGUAGGGGGGCAGCUUUUCAGAUAAGCAGAAUGUACUCGGAGCCUGCCAUCCAGCUGUUGCUGCCGGGGGAGUCCCAUCGUGGUGUCUGGAGUAAUAUCGGUUGACUGAUCCCCUGUCUGACACCAGGAUGUCCGUCUCUGGCCUUGACCACAUCGCAGUGUUCGGUGUCCUGCGCGUGCGGGUGUCGGAUAACCACCUAUUGAUGAAUGAUUUGAGCUGCUGAAGACGGACUGAGGCGCUGCCACCCGCAGGGGUCUAGGUGAGACGGAUGGGCCCAUUUGUAAUGCAGAGGGGGGCCCACAGCUGCAUUAAGUAUUAAAGUGUGGUUAUCUCAGGGUAAUGGCGCGCCAGCAGCAUUGAAACUGACUACGGAGAGAGAGAAGGUGUAAUCCUAAUGUUGAUGCAUGGGGCCAUGAGUCCAUUCUCCAAUCUGACUGAUUAUCUGUACAAUGUGACACAUGGUUUAACAGGUAAA